rnacentral:lncRNA from 1 species
UGCACACCACCUCCCCUCCGACAGGGGCCCUCUACCCUCAAGAAAGAGAAGAAGCCUGUUUCAGUUAGUUUAUUGUUCAAAAAGCAAAACUCCAAAGCUGCAGCCGCAGAAUCCUCUAGAAACCGGAGCAUCGCCCCGUCCGCUUGGCAACAGCGGCGCAGGCCGCUCCGCUCCGUGGUCGGAGCUCCUGUAGCCGUCCGAGUCCAGAGUCCGGAGCCCAGGCCUCGCCUGCCUGGCCUCUCCCCUCCUUCCUGCGCAGAGCGCAGGCUGCUGAGUCACGCCCGCCCGGCCGGUCCGGCCUUCCCGGCCCGGGGCCCACGGCCCGCCUCCGGCCUUCCCGGGCAGGCCGCCGCCGCCCACACUCGCGGAGUCCACACUCGCGNGGGCCCUCCUGCAGGGGCCGCGCUCCUCGCCGCUCUCCGCGCAGCUCUCCGGGCCCGCGCGCUCCGAGGGCGCAUCCACAGAGCCGGCCGCGCGCUAGGCGCCCCGGUGCCACCACGUCGUCGAUCAGACCAAGGCCCCCUCCGCGCGGUCACUCGGGGAGGGUGAUGCUGGGCACCCAGUCGUUGACGCUGCGGCUCUCCUCGCAGAACACGCUGAGCUUCUCCAAGGCGGGGUCCUUCCACGCGUCCUCAUUGGGGUUCUGCGGGAGGGCGCAGAGGUCAGCCCGGCCGGCCGCGGCGCGGGGGGCGCGGGGGGCGCGGNNNNNNNNNACGCCGGCGAGGCCACACUCACCGAGAUGAGGAUGCAGUGCAGGUCCCCCGCGGCGGCCGCCUCGUCGCCCGCGCCCACGAUCGCCGCCAGCCUCUGCACGUCGCCCACGCGCACGAUGUCUAUGUCGUUCUCGCAGCAGAACGCCUGGAUCAGCGUGAAGUGGAUCUGGAGCGCGAUGUCGCCCUCGUCCUCCGCGUCGGCGGCCAGCACGCAGAAGACACAGAGAGGCAGAGACACAGGCAGAGGGAGAAGCAGGCUCCCUGCCGGGAGCCCGAUGCAGGACCCGAUCCCAGGAUCCCCGGAUCACGACCUGAGCUGAAGGCAGAUGCUCAACCGCUGAGCCACCCAGGCACCCCGAAACAUUUUUUUAUCUGGAGGCAGAUUUGGGCUCCACCAGACCCCACCACCAUCUUGGGGUCUGGACAAAUCCAUAAGCUGCUGCGCACAUGCUGGGCAGACUGCAGGAAAAGAGCAGGCAAUGCCUGCACCCCAACCCUGGUUACCUACCCCAAAGUAGACCACAUGUCCCCUGCUGCCCCACUGUGUCACCCCAGCACUGCCACACUGCAUUCAGCCACUGCCUCAGCCUGCUGGAGCCCCAAGUCCUAGGACGCCAUGAGGUCAUCCAAACUUCCCGCGACUACCCCCCUAACCCGCCCCCCCCCCCCGCCCCGAACCUUAAUAAUACAGGCAGUGGUGACUCGAUGAA